rnacentral:rRNA from 1 species
GUUUCUUUUGCUAAUGAUGACUUUAACAUAAUUAUCUUUUCAAAAGAAAAUGUAGGCAUAAGUAACGAUAAAUAGAGUGAAAAACUCUAUCGCCGUAAGUCUAAGGGUUCCUGAUCAACGUUAAUCGGAUCAGGGUUAGUCUGGUCCUUAGUCAAACCCGAAAGGGGUAGAUGAUGGAAAACUGGUUAAUAUUCCAGUACCUGCUUUAAUUUCGAUGGGGUGACGCGGAAGUGAACAUCACACGAGGGAUACGGAAUUCCCCGUUUAAGUACGUAGCUAUAUUUUUUACAGGCAAAUCCGUAAGAGAUGGCGAAAUACGAAAGUAUAUGAUGGCUUCGGCCUGAUUGAGUGAUCUAUAUAACCGCCAAGAAAAACCUCUAAGGCUAGGUUAAAGCAGCCAGUACCGCAAACCGACACAGGUAGACGGGAUGAAUAUUCUAAGGCGCUCGGGUGAGCCGCGGAGAAGGAACUCGGCAAAUUGAUGCUGUAACUUCGGGAUAAAGCAUACCAUCUUCGGAUGGUCUCAGUAAAAUGGUUCAACCAACUGUUUAACAAAAACACAGGGCCCUGCAAAAUCGUAAGAUGACGUAUAGAGCCUGAUACCUGCCCGGUGCUGGAAGGUUAAGGAAGGAUGUUCGGCGCAAGCCAAAGCUUCUGACUGAAGCCCCAGUAAACGGCGGCCGUAACAAUAACGGUCCUAAGGUAGCGAAAUUCCUUGUCGGGUAAGUUCCGACCUGCACGAAUGGUCUAAUGAGUUGAACGCUGUCUCCUCCGCGAGCCCGGUGAAAUUGUAGUAUCGGUGAAGAUGCCGGUUACCCGUCACGGGACGGAAAGACCCCAUGAACCUUCGCUACAACUUUGCAUUGAUUUUGAGCAACAAAUGUGUAGGAUAGUUGGGAGACUAUGAAGCAGCAUCGCCAGGUGUUGUGGAGUCAACGUUGAAAUACCAACCUUUUGUUGCUUAGAACCUAACCCCCAACGGGGGACAUUGCAUGGUGGGUAGUUUGACUGGGGUGGUCGCCUCCUAAAAUGUAACGGAGGCUCGCAAAGGUACCCUCAGUACGGUUGGUAAUCGUACGCAGAGCGCAUUAGUAUAAGGGUGCUUGACUGUGAGACAUACAAGUCGAUCAGGUGCGAAAGCAGGCUAAAGUGAUCCGGUGGUUCUGUAUGGAAGGGCCAUCGCUCAAAGGAUAAAAGGUACUCUGGGAUAACAGGCUGAUCUCACCCAAGAGCUCAUAUCGACGGUGAGGUUUGGCACCUCGAUGUCGGUUCGUCACAUCCUGGGGCUGGAGAAGGUCCCAAGGGUUCGGCUGUUCGCCGAUUAAAGUGGCACGUGAACUGGGUUCAGAACGUCGCAAGACAGUUCGGUCCCUAUCUGUGAUGGGCGCUAGUAAAUUGAGUGGACAUGACCUUAGUACGAGAGGACCGGGUCGUACGUACCGCUGGUGUAUCGGUUGUGCCGCCAGGUGCAAUGCCGAGUAGCUAUGC